rnacentral:lncRNA from 1 species
GGUGAAGAAAUUGAGGCAUAAGAGAGAUUCAGAAACUUGGCCAAGGUCACAAGGCUGGCAGCCCAGGGAGGAAGGGGUUAAACUGAUGGCCACACACCAACAUAGAGGCCAAGCUGGGCUCCAGCCCCAUCCGCACUUGAAAUCCAGCGCCUGUCCGUCACCAUCACCAAGUAAGCCUGGGCUGCUGAUUCGCCAUGACCUGAAGUAGACACCAGCGUAAGCAGACGGGUCACCUUGUGCUUGUUUACGUUGUCUUCAUCCUCAUCACCUCCCAGUCUCUUCCCCAGAGAUCUUUGGCCAUCCUGGGACAGGCAGAAGCUGAAUGGGUC